GCAGCCCAUAAAACAGAGGGGGAAUAUGAGCAGCAUCCUGUCCUCCUCGCCCCACCAGGUGGCCACCUCCCUCACAGAUGUGAAGUGGCAAGGGCCUACCUGUUCUUCCCGCUUGGCUUGCACAAUGUGUGCCUGAGUCAGUGCCCUGGAGGCCACCUCCCCACCCUGCUGUUUACAAACACCCCAAGCCUGCCCGGGCCUGCAUCAGUGGCCUUUGGGUGCAUGAUCGAGCGGGAACACACACAGCCGCACACAGGUGGGUGGGAGGCAGGCUGCUGAGUUGGUGAGAGCACCAGGCUGUCCGCUCCCGUGGACAUGCCAUCAGGUCCACGGCCACCAGACCUGGCACUGCCAGGUUGCAGAUAGGAAUACUGGAGCCACAUGGAGUACUAAAAGGAAUUCAAUGGAGAGGAAUGAUGGAGCCCAGCACCUCCCUGCCCCCUUAAAUCGGAGCCACCACAGCCAGGCUGGGGAUUCCUGCCCAUGGUCCUGAGACAGGCUUCCAUUCUGAUUCUGGUGACAUGAAGCCUGUGGUGACAGGGCAUUCAGCUCUUUCUUCAAACCCUGCUCCCUGGGGUCACGUGUCUCUGAGAUGACCCCUCUCCCCUGCAGUGUCUACCCUCUGGCACCAGCCCAAGCUACUGCACUCCAGAGGAAGAACUGCAGCAGUGGCAGGUGGGAAAACGCUCCAUCCUGGAUCUCAGAGAAGGCAGCAUUCACCAGCGUCC